rnacentral:rRNA from 1 species
AGUGAACGCUGGCGGUAGGCCUAACACAUGCAAGUCGAACGGCAGCACAGUAAGAGCUUGCUCUUACGGGUGGCGAGUGGCGGACGGGUGAGGAAUACAUCGGAAUCUACUUUUUCGUGGGGGAUAACGUAGGGAAACUUACGCUAGUACCGCAUACGACCUACGGGUGAAAGCAGGGGAUCUUCGGACCUUGCGCGAUUGAAUGAGCCGAUGUCGGAUUAGCUAGUUGGCGGGGUAAAGGCCCACCAAGGCGACGAUCCGUAGCUGGUCUGAGAGGAUGAUCAGCCACACUGGAACUGAGACACGGUCCAGACUCCUACGGGAGGCAGCAGUGGGGAAUAUUGGACAAUGGGCGCAAGCCUGAUCCAGCCAUACCACGUGGGUGAAGAAGGCCUUCGGGUUGUAAAGCCCUUUUGUUGGGAAAGAAAAGCAGCAGGUUAAUACCCCGCUGCUCUGACGGUACCCAAAGAAUAAGCACCGGCUAACUUCGUG